UCUUGCUCUAAUUGGGAGGAAGGAGAAAUCCAAGAAAGUCGUGGAUUUGGAAGUCCCAGCCAUCCGAUCUCACCCAGUUGAAUAAUACAAAUUAAAAUGGCCCGUCGAGCUCAAGUCCCCAAUAAAAGCUCAGCACUUAUUGCUAUGAUUGCCAAUGAGGACACUGUAACUGGAUUCUUGCUGGCUGGUGUGGGUAAUGUCGACUUGCGGAGAAAGACAAACUAUCUUAUUGUUGAUUCAAAAACAACAGUCAAAGCGAUUGAAGAUGCAUUCAAAGAGUUCACGUCAAAAGAGGACAUUGCUAUUAUUCUAAUCAGCCAAUAUGUUGCAAACACGAUAAGGUUCUUGGUUGAUAGCUACAAUAAGCCAGUACCAGCUAUUUUGGAGAUCCCUUCCAAGGAUCAUCCUUAUGACCCUGCUCAUGAUUCAGUUCUUUCACGUGUGAAGUAUCUCUUCUCUGCUGAAUCCGUGGCAUCCGGACGGCGUUGAAUAUGUCUAAAUUUUCUACCGUUCAGGUUGCAGACGCUAUCAUUCUUCUAGUUGAGAACUACAUAUGUGCACACCAUUGUUAUGGUGAUAAUAGGAACAAGUUGCCAUGUUGAAUGUUAAGAAGAUAGGAGUUCAUCCUUUUCAAACUACAGUUGCUUCUGAUCCUUUGUGUCCAUUCCUUUGUUUUCUUAAGAUUCUUUUAGUGUUUAUCCUCCAAUUUGGGCAAGACACUGCAAUUCUUAGCAACUUAACGAGUGGUUCACCUGCUUGUCUGUAUUUUUACUUUUAAUUCAUCCCAGAAGUGCAACUCUAAAGGAAUGCUGAAAGCAAUUCAUAGUAAAAGUUGCCAUGUUGAAUGUUAAUAAUGCACGGUAUAUUAGAUUGGUUUGUAUCAAUUAGUUACAAACUAGUUUGUAACUAAUUUCUGUCCUUUCUUUUUAUUUUUUAUUUUAUUGAGCGUUUC